rnacentral:rRNA from 1 species
UACGGAGGGUGCUAGCGUUGUUCGGAAUCACUGGGCGUAAAGGGCGUGUAGGCGGUCUGUUGAGUCUGAUGUGAAAUCCCCUCGCUCAACGAGGGAACUGCGUCGGAUACUGGCAGACUCGAGUACCGGAGAGGAAGGUGGAGUUCCCGGUGUAGCGGUGAAAUGCGUAGAUAUCGGGAGGAACACCGGUGGCGAAGGCGGCCUUCUGGACGGAUACUGACGCUGAGACGCGAAAGCGUGGGGAGCAAACAGG